GCUUUUUUUUUGUUUUAUUUAGGAAAAAAACAUGAAGAAUAAGUUAUCUUCAGACUACAAGAGAAACAGAGGUAAGCAUAAUGUAAUUACCCAAGCUGGAAGCUAGCCAGGAACAGCAGCUGCAGAAUUCCACGGUGGGACGAAAAAGUAAUAUUGACCAAGAAAUAUCAUAUUACCCUUUGCAGAUCCAUCCCAAUAGUUUGUUUCUCACCCGUAUUUAUUCUGAAGGCUGAAGAGUCUCUCCACUUAGAAGGAGAAAGUCCUGGCACCUGUGCCUAUGGGGACCCAGGGUCUGAGGCUGAUACGGAACAGGUGAGAAGAAUUAGUACCACUCAUAUCAGAGGCAGCAGGUUUCUGCCCCAGAGUAAUGGCUCUGGAGAGGCUGGGCUAUGCGGAACGGGAGGGUUGUGGAAGAAACAGGGCAAGUUCAAGCUUGAUCAACUCUUCUGCCUGGAAAAAAGCAUUCACUCUUUUGUGAAGAGCUUGGUGUGGCCCCACACUCUCCUGCUGUGCUGCCUUGGGAACCCUUUCUGAAUUCCACGAGGGCAAGAUACGGGCCAAGGACCCUGGUUUGCUCUGAGGCUCCCUGCAACCUCGAACACUAUCUCCUGCCUGGGAAAAAGACCCAAUCAUGCACUCGCUUCCUAUUCCUCCUCCUUUCCAUUUAGGGUGAAGUUUCACACUUUGGCAGCAAAUUGCACUUUCUAGCAACAUUAGAAACUCUUAAGCAUGCCAGAAAAAUCGACCUCCAGUUAAAGUGGGAACAGUCUAGAGAGGUUUGCAAACAGCAAAUUAAAUGCACCAAGCAGUUAAAACACAGGCCCUUUUUCAAGGUCCUUUGUAGGAAGUUAGGGGUUCCUCUCUUCCCUGAAGGUGGGAGGGGGAGGUUUUGGAAGCCUCCUGUCCUCUCCCUGCCAGUGUAGAUCCUUCCUGGUGGCUGGACAACCAGGGUUUGCUCCUAAUUUGAAAAGAGUUUCCUA